CAAGUAGCAACCCAGUGUGUGUUUAUGUGACGUGCAAUAACUUAUUAUGUACUUGUGCGUGAGGAUACCGCUGCAAAUGUCUAUGUGAAACUACGCCUUCAAAAAGGUGACUUCAAUGAUGAUGAACUUAAAUAACUAUCUCUUCGUAACAUAAAGGU